UACGUAGGGAGCAAGCGUUGUCCGGAUUUAUUGGGCGUAAAGAGCUCGUAGGCGGUUCCGUAAGUCAGGUGUGAAAAAUCUGGGCUCAACCCAGUGGAGCACCUGAUACUGCGGUGACUCGAGUCCGGUAGGGGAGUGUGGAAUUCCAGGUGUAGCGGUGAAAUGCGUAGAUAUCUGGAGGAACACCGGUGGCGAAGGCGGCAUCCUGGACCGGUAUUGACGCUGAGGCGCGAAAGCCAGGGGAGCAAACGGG
rnacentral:rRNA from 1 species